UCCUGCCAGCUCGUCGUCACUCCACUCAGGCCGAAACGAAGUCCUCGGCCGAGCGUCCUCGUCACUCCCGUGCUGUGAGCCUUCGUGGCAGGUCCUGGCCGCGUGCUUUCCUCCGGUUUUAUCGGCCGUCUUCAGUCGCUUUCAGUGGCGUUCUGGUCGCGUUGGUCUUUGGUCCGACAAUUGCCAAAACACUAAUUUUUGUGAAUGAAAUUCGUGAUAAACUCAGUGAGUGAAUGAAUGAGCACGCCUUCGUCAAACAAUCGCGCAGUGGUUAAAUCAAAUAAAGUGUUAUAAAAAUAUGUGAUUACUUAAAUAAAAGAAUUUUAAAAUGUGAAAUUCAAUUUGGACCGCAACGUCAGUGCAUGAACCACAACAGCCAUCCAGGGGACGGCAAAAUAUAAGAAGUAAAAAAUAAAGCCCCGGAAAAUUUUGAACAGGACAAAGGACAUACCCUCGGGACAGCGGGUCGAGAAAUUGUGGCAUCGAUUGAGGCAGGAAGACCUGCAUCCGACGCUUGGCAGCCCGGCGGCGAGUCCUUGCCAAGGACAUGAAAAUGCGCUUCAUUAAUUUGGCUGGCAGUCGCGGACUGUCUGAGGAGGAAAAUCAGCAGCAGCAGCAGCAGGAGGAACAGGAGCAGGAACUG